CCUACGGGAGGCAGCAGUGAGGAAUAUUGGUCAAUGGGCGCGAGCCUGAACCAGCCAAGUAGCGUGAAGGAUGACGGCCCUACGGGUUGUAAACUUCGUUUAUAAAGGAAUAAAGUGAGGCACGUGUGCCUUUUUGUAUGGACCUUAUGAAUAAGGAUAGGGCAACUCCGGGCCAGCAGCCGCUGUAAUACGGAGGGUCCGAGCGGUAUCCUGGUUUAUUGGGUUUAAAGGGAGCGUCGGGGGGUUGUUAAGUCAGUUGUGAAAGUUGGCGGCUCCAACCUAAAACUGCCUUUGAAACGGGCAGCCUUGAGUACAGUUGAGGUAGGCGGAAUUCGUGGUGUAGCGGUGAAAUGCUUAGAUAUCACGCAGCACUCCGAUUGCGAAGGCAGCUUACUAAACUGCGACUGACAUUGAUGCUCGAAAGUGUGGGUAUCAAACAGGAUUAGAUACCCCAGUAGUC
rnacentral:rRNA from 1 species